rnacentral:rRNA from 1 species
GACAAUGGGCGCAAGCCUGAUCUAGCCAUGCCGCGUGAGUGAUGAAGGCCUUAGGGUCGUAAAGCUCUUUCGCCAACGAUGAUAAUGACAUUAAUUGAAGAAGAAGCUCCGGCUAACUUCGUGCCAGCAGCCGCGGUAAUACGAAGGGGGCUAGCGUUGUUCGGAAUCACUGGGCGUAAAGCGUAUGUAGGCGGAUCAAAAAGUUAGAUGUGAAAUCCCUGGGCUCAACCCAGGAACUGCAUUUAAAACUAGUGAUCUAGAAUUUGGUAAGGGUUAGUAGAAUUUCCAGUGUAGAGGUGAAAUUCGUAGAUAUUGGAAAGAAUACCAGAAGCGAAGGCGACUAACUAGGCCAUUUUUGACGCUGAGAUACGAAAGCGUGGGUAGCAAACAGGAUUAGAUACCCUGGUAGUCCACGCAGU